rnacentral:rRNA from 1 species
GCUUGCGGGGUGGAUCAGUGGCGAACGGGUGAGUAACACGUGAGCAACCUGCCCCUGACUCUGGGAUAAGCGCUGGAAACGGCGUCUAAUACUGGAUACGAGACGUGAUCGCAUGGUCAACGUUUGGAAAGAUUUUUCGGUUGGGGAUGGGCUCGCGGCCUAUCAGCUUGUUGGUGAGGUAAUGGCUCACCAAGGCGUCGACGGGUAGCCGGCCUGAGAGGGUGACCGGCCACACUGGGACUGAGACACGGCCCAGACUCCUACGGGAGGCAGCAGUGGGGAAUAUUGCACAAUGGGCGCAAGCCUGAUGCAGCAACGCCGCGUGGGGGAUGACGGCCUUCGGGUUGUAAACCUCUUUUAGCAGGGAAGAAGCGAGAGUGACGGUACCUGCAGAAAAAGCACCGGCUAACUACGUGCCAGCAGCCGCGGUAAUACGUAGGGUGCAAGCGUUAUCCGGAAUUAUUGGGCGUAAAGAGCUCGUAGGCGGUUUGUCGCGUCUGCUGUGAAAUCUGGGGGCUCAACCCCCAGCCUGCAGUGGGUACGGGCAGACUAGAGUGCGGUAGGGGAGAUUGGAAUUCCUGGUGUAGCGGUGGAAUGCGCAGAUAUCAGGAGGAACACCGAUGGCGAAGGCAGAUCUCUGGGCCGUAACUGACGCUGAGGAGCGAAAGGGUGGGGAGCAAACAGGCUUAGAUACCCUGGUAGUCCACCCCGUAAACGUUGGGAACUAGUUGUGGGGUCCAUUCCACGGAUUCCGUGACGCAGCUAACGCAUUAAGUUCCCCGCCUGGGGAGUACGGCCGCAAGGCUAAAACUCAAAGGAAUUGACGGGGACCCGCACAAGCGGCGGAGCAUGCGGAUUAAUUCGAUGCAACGCGAAGAACCUUACCAAGGCUUGACAUAUACGAGAACGGGCCAGAAAUGGUCAACUCUUUGGACACUCGUAAACAGGUGGUGCAUGGUUGUCGUCAGCUCGUGUCGUGAGAUGUUGGGUUAAGUCCCGCAACGAGCGCAACCCUCGUUCUAUGUUGCCAGCACGUAAUGGUGGGAACUCAUGGGAUACUGCCGGGGUCAACUCGGAGGAAGGUGGGGAUGACGUCAAAUCAUCAUGCCCCUUAUGUCUUGGGCUUCACGCAUGCUACAAUGGCCGGUACAAUGGGCUGCAAUACCGUGAGGUGGAGCGAAUCCCAAAAAGCCGGUCCCAGUUCGGAUUGAGGUCUGCAACUCGACCUCAUGAAGUCGGAGUCGCUAGUAAUCGCAGAUCAGCAACGCUGCGGUGAAUACGUUCCCGGGUCUUGUACACACCGCCCGUCAAGUCAUGAAAGUCGGUAACACCUGAAGCCGGUGGCCUAACCCCUUGUGGAAGGAACC